UAUCAAUAAGCGGAGGAAAAGAAACCAACAGGGAUUGCCCUAGUAACGGCGAGUGAAGCGGCAACAGCUCAAAUUUGAAAUCUGGCUUCGGCCCGAGUUGUAAUUUGCAGAGGAUGUUUAUGGUGCGGUACCUUCCGAGUUCCCUGGAACGGGACGCCACAGAGGGUGAGAGCCCCGUCUGGUUGGAUACCAAACCUGUGUUAAACUCCUUCAACGAGUCGAGUAGUUUGGGAAUGCUGCUCUAAAUGGGAGGUAAAUCUCUUCUAAAGCUAAAUACUGGCCAGAGACCGAUAGCGCACAAGUAGAGUGAUCGAAAGAUGAAAAGCACCUUGAAAAGGGGGUUAAACAGUACGUGAAAUUGUUGAAAGGGAAGCGUUUAUGACCAGACUUGUGUCGUGUGGCUCAUCCGAGGUUCUCCCCGGUGCACUCCAUGCGGCUCAGGCCAACAUCGGUUCUUGUUGGGGGAUAAGAACAGUAGGAAUGUAGCUCUCCUUCGGGGGAGUGUUAUAGCCUAUUGUACGAUACUCUAACGGGGACCGAGGACCGCGCUUCGGCUAGGAUGUUGGCGUAAUGGUCAUUAGCGACCCGUCUUGAAACACGGACCAAGGAGUCGUCCAUUAGAGCGAGCGUUUGGGUGUAAAACCCGCACGCGUAAUGAAAGUGAAAUUAGGUGAGAGCUUCGGCGCAUCAUCGACCGAUCCUGAAGUUUACGGAUGGAUUUGAGUAAGAGUUUUAACGGACGGACCCGAAAGACAGUGAACUAUGCUUGAAUAGGGUGAAGCCAGAGGAAACUCUGGUGGAGGCUCGCAGCGGUUCUGACGUGCAAAUCGAUCGUCAAAUUUGAGCAUGGGGGCGAAAGACUAAUCGAACUGUCUAGUAGCUGGUUACCGCCGA
rnacentral:rRNA from 1 species